rnacentral:lncRNA from 1 species
AAGAAUCCCACAAUACACGCACCAAAAUCGGUGGAACUGAAUCAUAACCUCUAUAGAGUAAAAACUAGAAUAACUACUACAUCAUUAUCCGAAAAAACUACAACAGUAAACAAAAUAAAAGGGAAGGUGACUCUGAGGCUUGCGGAUGUGGAGCAGGUAUACCUUGAAGUCUCAUAAGCAACAACUCUAUCAACUCUAGCAUCCGGCAGGGAUGACGUACCUGGAUCUGCACUAAAAAUGUGCAGAAGUGUAGUAUGAAUACACCAAAACGGUACCAGUAAUUAUUGAGUCUAACCUCAGUAGAGUAAUGACGAGGCCAGGUCAAGACACCUACUAGGAUAUAAAAUAGAUAGUAUGAAAAUGUAAUACGGAUAUGUAAUGGAAAGUCAAGAAUUAAUAGAUACGAAACAAGAUAAUAGCAUGAAGUAGUACCAUAAAUCAAUAAUAGAAAUAGCAUAAAAGAAGCAACUAAAAGGGCUACAAUGAUCAUGUACGGACAACAAUUGAUAGAACAAUAAAUAAUGAAACAACAAGAUAUAUUCCCCACCAAAACACUUUGCGACAUGAGAUAAACAACAAGAAUCUCAUCGAGGUACCGCCUCGUAUAAUCAAGAAUCACAACCGAGGUACCACCUCGUAUUCACAUUUCUCAAUUUCAAUCACAAUCUUUUCUUAUGCCGCCACGUGAGCCUUACAUUUGAAAUAAGUUUUGAAAAUAGUUUUCCUGAAAUAGCUACACGCACUUUAGCCAACCUUAUGAUGUCGCAUGGCUUCACGUAAUUUCCCUACAAGAACCACUCACAUAUGUCCCACAUUAUACCGCCACAUGCACAUCAACCCCAGCCUUAUACCGCCGCAUGCACGUUAAUAUCAUAUCACAAUAAUAAUUAGCACCACAGGUGCCCUUAUAUCACAACUUGCCAACAAUAAAAAUAUCAAUAUUUCCACAACAAUAACCCAUGGCUCCACCACAACGUAUACAAGAAUAUCCAUAACAAUAAUGAAUGAAAAAUGCUCAAUAAGAUAGAUGUUUAAACAACAACCAACAUCGCCUCAACGUAUCAAUGACUUUCACUACUUCAACACCAAAUAACUCAACAAUGGGAGAAAUAAUACAUAACCACGAUAUUAGAUAAGGACUAACUCAAAAUAAAAGAGAUAACAUUUAACAAUGAGUUUCAAAUAAUGGAAAUCUACAACUAAAGCGAUAACAUGAACAAUUAGUUAAAAUAACGAAAAUCAAUAAGGAAAGAGGUAACACGAAUAAUGACUUCAAAUAAUGAUAAUUAACAAUGAAAAGAUAUCAUGUAACAAUAAAAGAGGCAACAAGUUCAAGCAUGUGAGCAAUUUAGCAAUAUUCGAAAAUAGCUUUUCCCUUAAACUCCGCCUCCACAUGGCUCAAAUCUAACCAAAAUCGACUCAAUUUCAUAAAAAAAUUCUAAGGAAUUCAAUUGCAAGAGAUAAAGUUAAGAUCUUUACACUUUUUCCAAAAAAUAACUAAAGUCAACCUAGGGCCCGCCCGGUCAAAAUCCGGGUCCAAUGGUAGAUUCCACCCACUCAUGACCCCACGAGUUCAUAUAUGUUAUUAGUUUCAAAAUUCGAGUCCAAAUCGACUCUCAAAAUUCAAAUUCUUAUUUUUUAAAAACUUGACAAAGUUUCACAAAUCUUCACUUUGAUUCACAUGAUUUAGAUGUUAAAAUCCAGGAUAUGUUGAUGGAAUAUGAUUAGAAAUAGAUUAGAAUCAUUUACCUAAGGUUUGUAGGUAAAAAUCCCCUCUCCAAAUUGCCUCUUACUGAGUCUAAGGUUAAAAAAUGAGAGAAUAAGUUCAAAAAUCCCGUAUCCAAACCAUUUAACUAGUUGCAUAUGUCACAUUUGCGACAGUGGGUUUGCAUUUGUGAAACCUUCGCAAUUGUGGACCAAGGCUCGCAUUUGCGAACCUGACAGCCUUUUACUUCAUCGCAAAUUGCGAGAAAGGAUUCGCAAUUGCCAAGCUAGAAUUAUCGCAAAUGCGAACAAAAAUUUGCAAAUGGGAAAUCUGCCUAGAUCCAGCUUCCUUCCCAAAUGUGAAGGGGAGGUUGCAUUUGCAACAUUAGCCCCCUAGUUAUGCCUUCGCAUUUGUGAGCCUGGUGUUUGCAAUUGCGACACUAGAGCACCAGAACUAGAUUUUCUGUAGUUUUUAGUCCAAAACGUACCGGAACAUGUCCGAAACUCAUCCGAGCCCUCGAGGCUCUAAACCAAACAUUUACACAAGUCUAAAAGCAUCAUAUCAACUUGCUCGCGUGAUCAAAACAUGAAAAUAACUUCAAGAACUACGAAUUAAACUCCAAAAUGCAUGAAAUUUCAAGAAAUUUUCAAGAACUUCUAGAAUUACAUCUAGACAUCUGAAUCCUAUCAAAUCAACUCCAAGUGAUACCAAAUUUUGCAAACAAGUUAUAAUGCCAUAACGGCCUAUUCCAAGUCCCAAAAAUAAAAUUUCAUACUCGAUAGCUAAAUGUCAACCUAUAGUCAAACUUUCUAACUUCAAAUUGGCAAAUUUCAGCAAAUCAACAUAAAUCAACCUAUAGACUUCCUAAAUCGAUUCCAGGCAUAUACCCAUGUCUAAAAUCAUGAUACAAAGCUAUCAGAGCCAUAAAAAUACAGUUCCGGGGCCGUCUUCACAAAAGUAAAAGUUUUGAUCAACAUUUUCUAAUUUAACUUCUAAGUCAAGAAUCAAGGGUCUAAAUCGACCUGGUAACAUACCGGAAAAAAAUAACCAACUUUGCAAGUCAUAAAAUCAUAAACACACAAUUUUUAAGCAAUAAAAGUGGUAACUCUAUGAAAUUACAUAAAACAACCAAUCGGGUCAUUACAAUUUUGUAUGAUCCCGGGAAGGCCAAUGUGAUGGCCGAUGCCUUGAGUAGAAAUGUCGUGAGUAUGGGUAGUCUUGCAUACAUUCUAGUUGGUUAGAUAUUGCUAGCAUUAGAUGUUCAGGCCUUGGCCAAUCAGUUCGUGAGGUUAGAUGUUUCGGAGCUUAGUUGGAUUCUAGCUUGCACAGUUUCUCGGUCUGCUUUUUAUGAUUGCAUCAGAGAGCAUCAGUAUAAUGACCCCUAUUUGCUUGUGGUUAAGGACACAGUACAACAUAGUGAUUCCCAGAAAGUUUCCAUUGGAUAUGAUGGGGUGUUACACAUGUAGGGUCAGAUUUGUGUGCCCAAUGUGGUUGAGCUUCGUGAGUAUAUUCUUGAGAAGGCCCACAGUUCGAGGUAUUCCAUUAAUCCGAGUACCGCCAAGAUGUAUCAGGAUUUGAGGCAGCAUUAUUGGUGGUGAAGAAUGAAUAAAGAUAAAUUUUCUUAUAUGGCUCGGUGCCUAAAUUAUCAGCAAGUGAAGUAGGAGCAUCAGAGGCCUGGCGAUUUGCUUUCGAGUCUUGAUAUUCCUGAGUGGAAGUGGGAGUAUAUUACCAUGUAUUUCAUUAUUGGGCUCCCACUCACAGACUCAAAAGAAAUUUGAUGCAGUAUGGGCCAUUGUGGAUAGGUUGGCCAAGUCGACACAUUUUAUUCUGGUGGCAAUUACCUAUUAUGCAGAGCGGUUGGUUGAGAUCUAUAUCUACGAGAUUGUUCGUCUGCAUGGUAUGCUAAUGUCCAUUAUUUCUAAUCGGGGCACGCAGUUCACAUCGCAUUUCUAGAGGGCUGUAUAUUGUGAGUUAGGAAUGUGGGUUGAGUUGAGUACAACAUUUCACCUCCAAAUGGAUGGGAAGUCCGAGCACACCAUUCAGAUAUUGGAGGAUAUGCUUCACGCACGUGUUAUGGAUUUUGGGGGUUCUUGGGAUCAGUUCUUGCUGCUUGCGGAGUUUGCCUACAACAAUAGCUACAAAUCGAGUAUCCAGAUGGCUCCUUAUGAGGCUUUCUAUAGGAGGCGGUGUCAUUCUCCAGUUGGUUGGUUUGAGCCGGGAGAAGCUUGGUUGUUGGGUACUGAUUUGGUUUGAGAUGCCUUGGAAAAGGUCAAGAUGUUCAGGAUCGGCUUUGUAUAACGCAGUCUAGGAAGAAGAGUUAUGCCGAUCAAAGAGUUCAUGAUACUUCAUUAAUGGUUGGAGAGAGAGUAUUGCUCUAGGUUUCACCCAUGAAGGAGGUGGUGAGGUUCGGGAAGAAGGGCAAGUUUAGCCCUAGGUAUAUUGAUCAAUUUGAGAUCCUUGAGAGAGUUGGUGAUGUGUCCUACAAGCCUGCAUUACCACCUAGCUUAUCAGCAGUCCACCCAGUGUUACAUAUUUCCAUGCUUCGGAAGUAUCACGGUGAUAUGCCCGAUGUAUUAAAUUUUAGCUCAGUCCAAUUGGAUAAGGAAUUGACUUAUGAGGAGGAGCCGGUGGCCAUUCUAGCCCGGCAGGUCCUGAAGUUGAGGUCUAUGAGUUAUCCUUCAGUUAGAGUAUAGUGGAGAGGUCAGCCGAUUGAGGCAGCUACAUAGGAGUCUGGGUCCGAUAUACAGAGUAAAUACCCACACCAUUUCACUAGUCCAGGUACAUUUCUACGUCCGUUCGAGAACGAAUGUUUGUUUUAGAGGUGGAGAAUGUGAUGAGCUGAUAGGUCAUUUUGAGUACUACACCUUAAUUUCAUGUUUCAUGACCUCCAUUAGAUUUGUUUGAUGUUUCUUGGUUUCUGUCUGUGGUCUGUGUCGCUUUUUGAAAAGCUUUUAUGUGAAAAUUUGAAUAAAACAUCAUUUUUUACUUUAAAAAUAACUUGAGUUGACCACAGUCAACAUUUUGUGAAAACAACCUUGGAUCAGUGUCUUGACAAUUCCGUUAGAUCUGUAUCAUGAUUCUGGACUUGGGCGUAUGUCCGGAAUUGAAAUUGGAGGUCCCUAAAUUGACUUGACUUAUUUUGUCGAAAACUAGUAUUUUAAAAGUUUGGAAAUUUGCUAAGUUUGACCUGAGUUGACUCCAUAGCUAACGGGUUUGGAUUUUGAUGUUGAAACUUGGAAUAGGUCUGUAUCGUUAUUUGAAACUUGUCUGCAAAAUUUGGUGCAAUUCGAAAUUUAAUUUGACAUGAUUUGGACGCUUGGAUGUGAUUCUAGUCAUUCUUGAGUUUGCUUUGAAAUUUUAUUCGUUUUGAGGGUUGAUUUGUAGAUUUAGAUGCUAUUUGCUAAUUUAAUUGCGCGAAUAAGUUCAUAUAAUGUUAUUACAUUUGUGUGAAAUUUUGGUUUUGGAGCCCGAGGGGCUCGGUGAGUUUCGAACAUUUUUCGGAAGUGUUAGGAUUGUCGGUGCAAUACCAGUUCUAGUGCUCUGUUGCAGAUCUCGCAAUUGCAAACAUCGUUUGAAGAAUUGUUCAUAUUUGUGAGCUUGGGUGGGGCUGGGCGGGGUGAAUCUCGUAUUUACGAGAAUUUGGUUCGUUUUUCGAACUAUGGCCUUCCGCUUUUGUGAAGAAAGUGGUCACAUUUGUGAUCACUGACCAUUGGGGUCUGCUUCAAUAUUGCGAAGCUUCUGGUCACAUUUGCGAUAAGGGUAUGUUCGCAUUUUUGAUCUAAAUGUCGCAUUUGCAACUUCUAUUCUUCUGUGAUAGGUUUCGCAUUUGCGAGCCCUGUCUCGCACUUGCGAUGUUUGAAAUUGCGAACAAGACAUCGCAAUUGCAACAUCUGCGGCUGGAUAAAAGAGAGGGAAAUGGGUGUUAGCUCAUUUUACACCAUUUCUCUACCCUAAACACUCUAGAGGCAAUUUUCCAAGAUAAUUUUCUUCUCAAAUUCGUUGGUAAGUAACUCUAAUCCAUUUCCUUUUAAUUACCCAUUACUUUUCAUGAGAUUGCAAUAUCAAAUUUAGGAUUUUGUACGGCCAAAAUUAGGGAUUUGGAUAGAAUUGAGAAUUUUUUUAGAAAUUGUUCUUGAGAUAUCAAAUUGAGGUCGAAUUACGAAACCAAUCACAUAACCGGGCUCGAGGGUGAAUGAGUAAUCGGGUUUUGGUCCAAACCUUAGGUUUUGACCAAGCAGGCCCGUGGCCGACUUUUUUCAAAAAAUAAUCAAAAUUGAACCUCUUUCAUCAAAGGGUAGUUCCUAAAACUUAAUUUGAAUCAUUUGGUCGAUAAUUUUUUGGAUUUGGUUGGAUUGGAGGCUUGUUCAAAAGGCAAGACUGUCGUUGAUUGAUUGCUUUUGUUACGCAGUGAUGUAAGUAUUGAGUCUAACCUUUAUUGGAGGUAAUUAGGGAACCUUGAACUACGUGUUAUGUGAAUUUUGUGGGAAACGACGUAUAUGUGAGGUGACGAGUGUAUAUACAUCGUCAUGAUACUUGCUUCCAUGUCUUUGGUAUUUCAUGAUAUAUCUUGUUUCAUGCCUUAAUUGUUAUAUGAGUGUGACGACCUGGCCAGUCGUCUCAUGAGAACCACUCUGUUUCCUCCAUUUCAGCUUCUUUAUGCUUUGUUAUCCGUGUUUUGUGGUAUUGGAUUGGUCGGAUUGAGUCCGAAAUGAGUUUGGUGAAGUUUGAGACACUUAGUCUCUUUUAAGAAGGCUUAAUUUGAAAAAAGUCAACCGGAUGUUAACUUAUGUUUUAGAGGGCUCAAAUGUGAGUUCUAAUGGUUCGGUUAGAUUCGGGAGGCGAUUUGUGACUUAGGAGCAUGAUCGGAAUGGGUUGUGGAGGUUCGGAGUAGAAUUAGGCUUGAAUUGGCAAAGUUGAUAUUUUAGCGAUUUCCGAUUGAUAGGCGAGAUUUUGAUAUAAGGGUCGGAAUGGAAUUUCGAGAGUUCCAGUAGCUUCGUCGUGUCAUUUGGGAUGUGUGUGUAAAAUUUCAGGUUAUUCGGACGUGGUUUGGUCGGGUUUUUUGAUCAAAGGCGUAUUUCAGAAGAUUUUAGAAACUUAGGCUUGAAUCCGAUAUAAUUUGGUAGAUUUGAUGUUGUUUGAGAUGUUUUGAUGAUUGUAACAAGUUUGAAUAAGGUAUUGGGUUAUGUUGGUGCUUUUGGUUGAGGUCACAGGGGCUUCGGGGUGAUUUCGGAUGGCUAACAGAAGAGUUGAAGUGUAAUUGCAGCUGCUGAAGUUGCUGUUUCUGGUGUUUUCGCACCUGCGGUUUGGGGACCGUAGGUGCGGUGCCGCACGUGUGGGAGAAUAGCCGCAAAAGCGUUUUUGGGAGGAUUCAUCGGGAGUCGCAGAUGCGGAAGCUUGACCGCAGAUGCAGUUUGGGUCUUUUAAGUGACUUCCGCAGGAGCGGACUAAUGGCCACAAAUGCGGUAGAAUUUCAUGAAUUAAAGCUGUAAUUAAUGGGAUUAAAGGGCUAAAAAUGAAGGAUUAGGGCUUGAGUUUAAGAGGCCUUUAAUGGAGGAUUUGAGGGGUCAUAUGAACUCUGAUUUUGGUAUUCUUGAUAUGUAUGGACUCGUGGGGAGAUGAGGAAUCUAUCGAUGUAAAAAUUUCCGACUUUCGAGAAGUGGGCUCGGGGCUCGGGUUUUUACUAAUUUCGGGAUUUUUGGUAUUUUUCAAUUGUUUUUGCUUGGGCUUUGUUCCCUUAGCAUAUUGUGACGUAUUCGUUCUGAUUUUGGAUAGAUUCGACGCGAGUGGAGGCCGAUUUAAGGGGCAAAGGCAUCGCAGAGUAAUAUUUUCAUCGGUUUGAAGUAAGUAACCAUUGUAAAUCUGGAACUGAGGGUACAAAACCUCGGUAUUUGACUUGAUUUGAUAAGAGUGGUGUCGCACAUGCUAGGUGACGAGCAUGUGGGCGUGCACCGGUAGGGAUUGUGACUUGGUCCGUCCCAUAGCGACUAUUAAGCUGUGUAUUUGAUUUGGAAAUCUCACAUUAUUCCGUAUUUCAGUUUUUAUACUGUAUUAUGGGUUGUAUGCCAUGUUUGGGGCCUUUUGCUGACCUGUAGAAACCAUUAGGGGCAUUUUGACUGUUCUUUCUCACUUUACUUGUUAAAAACCAUAUCCUCAGUCAUGUUUUUACCUGUUUAAAUGAUUAAAGCUGGUUUUAUCACUCUAUUCCUAAAUGCGAGGAUUGUUUGGGCUGAGAUCCCUACCUUCUAUUAUUGUACCCGAGAGGCUGUGAGAUUAAUGACUAAGAGAGGUUGAGAACCCAAUUGUGAGGAUAUUAUAUGUAUAUAUUAUGGAUCGGGUUGCACGCCGCAUCGAUACUUAUAUGGAUAGGGCUGCACGCCGUAGUGAUAUAACGCAUGGGCUGUAGGAGCCCUCCGGAGUAUGCACAACCCCAGUGAGCGUAGUCGACUAUAAUAUAUGGAUCGGGCUGCCGCCGUAGUGGUUACUAUGAUUCUAAUAUUAUAAGGUUAUAAAUGAGUAGAGUGCUGAGAGUGAGUACUGUGUGACGAGAGUUGAGUCACGAGUGACUGAGAUGCUGCCCGAGGGGCCACAUUCUGAGUGAUUCCUUACCCUAGGGGCCUUGUUAUGUUGUUUUCACUGUUUCACUCUUCCUUUAAACUAAGCCUCUGUUGGGAAAUGCUGCUAAGUAUAUGAUUUCAAGUUUUAAACUGAAAGUGUGGAUCUUAUGACGAAACUGGUUUUAAAUUGUAAGUUGAGCUAUAAUCCUGUCGCUAUUUUUAGUUAUAUGAUUUUAAACUACUCGUCACUACUUUCAGUCUUUAUUUACUUUAGUUACUUAUUGAGUUGGCGUACUAACAUUACUCCCUGCACCUUGUGUGCAGAUACAGGUGCCCGAGGAGUAGAGUGAGGGCUUUCUGCUGAUUCAGUGUUCGCCCGAGAUUACGAGGUAGCUGCAUGGCAUCUGCAGCCCUGUCUUCUCCUCUCCAUCCAGUUUAUUUUCACAUUUGCUAGACUUGAUGUACUAGAUGUUCAUAUAUGUAUUAGAGGCUCUAGACUCGUGACACCAGAUUGUUAGGGUUGUGUAGUAUCUGCUAUUUUGAUUUUCUGCAUAUUUCUGUCAUUAUAAUACUUAUAAAGAAUUCUACAUUUAAAACUUGUGCUAGAAAAUGGCUUUAUGUUAAUAGCAAAUGGGUUGUGGUUAUGGAUUUGUCGGCUUGCCUAGGAAUGUGAUAGGCGCCAUCACGACAGGUAUUUGGGGUCAUGACAAUGUGUUAUUGACUUAUAUGCCAUAAUUGUUACUUGUCAUUUAGUUAUUCUUGUAUAAUAUCGUUUGUCCCUUCCAUGACUCCAUGCUUAUUUGAUACUUGUCUCUACUUGCUUUACUCUCAUAUCUAAAUUGUCAUGUCUUACUUACCUUAUAGAUUUGUAAUAUUUGUUGUCUUCUAUAGUAUGGUUUUACUUGUAUGAGUUUAAUUGAUAGAUACCGAUGAGUUGGUAAAGUUGAGACAUUCGAUGUCACGACCCAAAACCCACUAUAGGUCGUGAUGGCUCCCAACAUCGCCGUUAGGCAAGCCAACGGUGAACUACCAACUUAAUUAUUCAUUUUAUUAUUUUUGAAAUCAUAAACCUUAUUAGAUAGGGAAAUCAAUGCAUUAAAAAUCGUAGACACGUACAACCUAAAUGAAAUAUAAAGUAAAAGUGUAUCAAUGGCAGGCAAAACCAUAAACAAAUUCUAGAAUAUCUCAAAACCCGAUGUCACAAGUGCAUGAGCAUCUACUAAAAAGUACAAUAACAAUACAAUAUCUGUCUGGAAUACAAGAUAGACAGAAUAAAGUAAAUAAUUAUGAUAGAGACUAUGUGUAGCGAAUCUUAGCAUGGAAUGCAUCUUACCAUAAAGUCGCCUCAGUAGCUGCACCUACGCACCCAAAUGACCACCAAAUAAACCUGUCAAAUCCUGCACAUUUAGUGCAGAAGUGCAGUAUGAGUACGUAAAUCAACACGUACCCAGUAUGUAUCUAGUCUAACCCUAAAGAGGUAGUGAUAAGGAGAUGACAUUGAUACUUACUAGUGGUCCAGUAGAUCAAAUGUAAUAAAGUAUAAAAGUAUGAAACAUGGUAAAUAAAUAAUGAGAAUAGAUAUAGGAAAAUAGUACGGUCUACAGUUGAACAAUGAACACAAAGUCCUCAACUAUCAGAUACCUCCUCAAAUGGAAUACGUAAUGGUCAAUACUAAACCAACAGUCACAUUUCAAGUCAGGAAACUCAUGAGUAUGCGAAAUCCUGAUUAAGUAUUCCGCACGAUUUUACCGAGGCAAGCAGCCCGAUCCCAUAAAAGUAUUUUAUAGAACUGCCGACACAAAUGACACGAUCCCAUAAGAGUGUUUCAUAGAACUGCCGAGGAAAAUGGCCCGAUCCCAUUAGAGUGGUUCAUAAAAUUAUCGAGGUGAACGACCAUAUCCCAUAAGAAUAUGUUACUCUGCCAAGGAAAAUAGCCCGAUCCAUAAGAGUGUUUCAUAUUGUUGAGGAAAACAACCCGAUCAACAUAAAAAUAUGUUACUUAGAUAAGGCGAACGACACGAUCCCAUAAGAGUAUGUUAAAUGAUACCGCAAAGGCGAACGACCCGAUCCCAUAAAAGUGUAUCACAUUAUACCACCGAGGAGAACGACCCCAUCCCAUAAGAGUGUAUUACAUGAUAUCGUCGAGGCAAAUGGCCUGAUCGCAUAAGAAUAUAUUACAUGAUACCGCCAACGCGAACAGCCCGAUCCCAUAAGAGUAUUGCUGAUGCAUACAGCUCGAUCCUAUUAGAAUAUAAAACUUUUAAAGGUCACUGACCACACUCACGAAUAUAUGUGUGAGUUAUAAAAUUCAAGAAAAACUAUCGGAUGAAUACACACACGCGGAAGAAAUCCGCAAAGGAAAGUACAAUUUCCACAGCUAAUCAAGUAGCUCCUCAAGUAUCUAAAAUAGCAAGUCUGAUACUCUACGCGAGUAUAGUCUCAUANNNNNNNNNNNNNNNNNNNNNNNNNNNNNNNNNNNNNNNNNNNNNNNNNNNNNNNNNNNNNNNNNNNNNNNNNNNNNNNNNNNNNNNNNNNNNNNNNNNNNNNNNNNNNNNNNNNNNNNNNNNNNNNNNNNNNNNNNNNNNNNNNNNNNNNNNNNNNNNNNNNNNNNNNNNNNNNNNNNNNNNNNNNNNNNNNNNNNNNNNNNNNNNNNNNNNNNNNNNNNNNNNNNNNNNNNNNNNNNNNNNNNNNNNNNNNNNNNNNNNNNNNNNNNNNNNNNNNNNNNNNNNNNNNNNNNNNNNNNNNNNNNAAAAUUGAAUUUCUUGAUUCCAUUCUUCACUGCAAGAAUUUCCUUGAAAGUGGAGUGAUAAUAUUUUUCCGCAUCUUUGAACUUUCCGCUUGCAAAUCUACAUAUUUUUCUCUGGCCAUCUUUUAUUUCAAAUAGAACAACAUUCUAGUAUUCAUUGUUGGCAUCAGCUUGCAGUAUUUUCUUACCUUUUGAAGGGAUGUAGAGGGAUUUGACAUCAUUAUAUAUCUACUUUAUUUCCCAGACUAUUUCAUCUUGUUCCUUUCCCCAUGGCGGAGCAUUUUUCUUGAGCAUCUUUGUGAGCAGAGAAAUGUAUGUAGAGAUAUUUGGAAUAAAUCUCUUACAUAAUUUACUACACCCAAGAAUUGUAGGAUCUUCUUUGUUGUGAGGCUGGUAUCAGGAAAUUUGAGUAGCUCCUGACAUAUAUGUGGUCCUGGACUGUAUACACCUUGGACAAAAUGCAUUCCGAGAAAAUCAAUCUCCUUUUGAGCAAGAACCAUCUUUUUUGCUCAAAGAAUGAUCACGUAAUGUGUUACCAAUGCCUCAAAUUGAUGAAGCAAGAUGAUAUGUUCCUCCAAUAUAUUACUAAAUAACAGGAUGUCAUCAAUGUAAACUAAAGAGGUAUGGAGGAUGGGCUGGAAGAUUUUUAUCAUGGCUUUUUUUUGAAAAAGGAGGGGGCAGUUUUUAAUCUGAAGGGAAUGACUUUCUAUUGGAAGUGAUGAUUGGGGAUGCAAAAUCCUGUUUUGGCUCAUUCUUCGGGAUGGAUUCCCAAUUGCCAAAAUGUAGAUUUAAAAUCAAACUUGGAAAAAUAUUUGGCCUUUGCUAAGUGAGAGAAAAGAGAGUUUAUUUGGGAUAUGGAAUUUAUUAUCUUGGAGGAAAUAGUUAAGUGACUGGUAGUUAAUAACUAACCCGAGUUUUCCUCUUGUUUGUCCAGCUCUUUUGUUGACAUAAAAUGUUAUGCUUGCCCAUUGUGAAUCUGAUGGCUCUAUUAGAUCAAAUUCCAAGAGUUUUUCAUCUUCUUUCUUUGCAAGCUAAAGAUUAUAUGGAUUCAUGCAUGAAUGACUGGCUUUUGUUGGAUUGAUAUUUUUAUUCUUCUUGAAAUGGAGCUUGAUAAAAAACUCUUCAUUCUUUCAUAAUGGGAUUUUCCCUUUUUUCAUAAAAUCCUUGUGGGAUUCAACACAUGAAUGCUCAAUAAGAUUUUGUUCAAUCUCCUUGAUUUGUUCGCCAUUGGUGAUUUGGAAUAGCCUUGGAAUUUCAUAAUAAGAUUUGAAUUGCUUCUUAAAGGUUAACCCGUUAGCCCUUAUCUGGAGUUGAUCAUUUAGUUGUCUGAAAAUGUCGAAUCCAACAAUAAGAUAUUUUCUUGGUACACUGAAUCCUAUCAGCUUGGUUCUGUACUUCAAUAUUGGAAAGAACUCAAUUGUGACCGGGUGCUUUGUAAUGACGGUGGUAGUCCGGAUUCCAUUUGAAGCAGUGUUGAAAUCCUUAAAGUAAGGAACCCAUUGUUCUUCAGGGAGAAUAGCAGGAUUCAUGAGUGAACAAACAACUCAAGUGUCAAUGAAAGCAAUGACUCGAGUUGGUUUAUCCUAUUUGGAUGGAUAAACCUUGAGUUCCACUUGAGGGAUUACUAUGAGAGCGUUAAUCUCUUCCUGGGCUUUAGUUGUUGGUUCUGAAUUUUUGUAGUGGUCAUCAUUAUGAUCUUCGUAUAUGUCAAUAGAGAAUAAGGUUUCUUCAGUGGGUUCAUCAUCCAUAGAGAAUAUGGACUUGAGUUCCUCUUUUUUCCGAGAUGUAUGCCAGUGUAAUAUUCAAUCUCUUCGAGGAGUUUGACCAAUUUCCUUGAUUGGGGACAAUUUCUUGCGAAAUGUCUGAUCUUGUGGCAAAUAAAGCAUCUGUUCUUUUCUGAAAAUUUCCUAGCCUCCUUUGUCUGAAAUAUUUUGUGCGCCUCUUGGACCAUGAUUUCCCAUCUAGAGUUCUUGGCCAUCUGAACCUUCUGAAUCCUCUCCGUCACCUAGAUGUGUGGCAGGAACAUCCUGAUUCGGUAAUCAGAUCAGAUUUGCGGCAUGCUUUGUCAAGUGUUGGAAUGUGUUAGAUAAUUUGUUUUAGGGCAGAUCGCUUCAUACAAAUGUCAUCCAAUGUGACGAAAAUAGCUUGCCUGAUGUAGUCGACUUGUGAGAUUGAUAUUGACUGAAACGUUUCUUCAAUGAUGGUCAUGGUUCGUCUUGCCAACAACUUUGGAAGGGAAGAGACAAAGGCUUGCUUCACGUUGAUGUCUCUGUCGAUCUCGAAGUAUAUCUUCACUAUUUUUUAAAAAUGCUUGUCAAUGUCAUUUCUGUCGAAUGACACACACUUCAUCUCGAAUUUUUGUCUCCUCAUCUUUUCUUAUCUUUGGACAGUAUCUCCACAAAAAACUUAAUGUAGGAUUCUAAUUUUGAAGGAAAAGUCCUAGGAAGGAAGAAAGGUAUUUUUGUUUUGAAUCCCAUGUAAGUUCCACCAAUAUCUGAGGAUUCUUGAGAACCAUGAAGUGAGUUCUGACAGGAUGAUAUACUUUUCUCGUUCCACCAGAUUUUUGGUAACCAUCCAAGUAUAGAAGUCUUGGAUCCUUUGAGACCAUUUUAAAACCUUGAUGUCAUCUAAGGUGAAAGUGUAGAAGCCAGUUCCAAUUGGUUUUGAUGCCAUGGGCUCAUAUCUUCUUUAUGGGAUUGGUUCAUAUGUCAUGCCUUCUUGAUACGCAUCUACUUCAUAAAAAAUUGGGUCUCUUGGCUGUUUAAAAUAUUGGGGGAUUGUCUUCUUCGGAAGAGUUCAUUGUGGAUUCAUUGCCUGAUUGAGAGCUAUCUUCCAUUGUAUCCUCGUCUGAUGAAUUUAGUGAUUCCGACCAUGUGGUAUCUCCUUCUGACAUGUUUUUAGGUUGGGUGACAUAGAGGUUUGGAACCUUAUGAUCAGAAAUCAUCAGGUUUUUGGGGUUGGACCCUUUUGAACUUUCUCCAUGAUCUCGCCUUUUUUGGUUUGUUUUUGGGCCGCAAGAGCAUAUUUCCUUUCCUAAACCAUUUUUGCAAUAUCAAAAUCAUGUUCUUGCUUUAAGGGUUGGGUGAAAGAAAUAGGAUUUUGUGAGGUAGUAGGAAAAGUAGAAAAGGUGUAGUCCAAUUUAAGUAGGGAAUAUGCUUGUGGCGACAUAGGGAAGAAGGUAGGUUUUGAAGGGAAAAUUGGGGUCUUUUGUGACACAAAGUGGUCAUUUCUCAAAAGUUAAAUUUGUUUUCCGAUGGAAAUCGUCUCAUUUUGUUGUUGUUGGAAAAUUAGAAAAGUGAAGUUCCUAGCAGACAAAUCUCAUAUUGUAAAUUUGCCAACCUUAGUUCCAAGGCUUUGAUUAGUCCCGCAUGGUGAGGCGAUGUCUGCUCCACCUUUUCCUCAAUUGUUUCCACUUUGCUCGUCAUUUUGUUUUGUGUAUGGGCCACGUUCUUUAUGUGUUGCCAAUGUUUUUCAGCACUUUGUUUUGACAGUUGGAAUUUGCUCAUUUCCAGCUCAUUUUGGCCUCGAUAUCACUAAUUGGGGGGUUUUUCUCCAGUAGCUAGCACUAUAUUUUUCUUGGGAAUUUUUAGAGCAUGGCUUAUACCCUCUUUUUCAAAAGAUUGAAGUGAAGGAAAAUCUUGGGUAUGACUGAGCUUGAAGGGCUUAACAUGAAUAUUUGUGGUUUUGUGGGCUUUGGGGUUUUUUGAGUUGGUAAAGUUUUAGGUUCAGGUGGAUUUUUGGAUUCUGAGGUAUGAGUUGAUGGUAGUUUGGGUUUGGGUGUUAUUUCACUAUCUUCCCAGCUUUGAGUGAAUUUUUCUGGUAAUUUAGGCCAUUCCUGGGGUUUGUAAUUGACAAGAAAUUCGUAUUUAUCCGAACGACUUAGUAAGCCAAUUGAAGGAUCUUUAUUUUCAUAUUUGGCUUGAAAUUGCUUUUCACUAGUUUUCCCUUUUUUCUUGGAUUUUGGUUUGGUAUUGUUGAGGCCAAAUCUUUCCAAAAGAUACAGGUGGUAUUCAUCAUAUUCUCCAAUUGGAUCUUCCAAACAGUCUUGGCAGUCGCAACCAAUAUCCCAAGGGCAGUGUCCGGUAAAGGGGCAUUUGAACCACCAAAAUCUUCUGCCCUCUUUGUCGAAAUGUUGACACCAGUCAUGUUCUUCCAUGAUAGUUUGUAUAUUCCAGAAGGGUUCACUUUCAGGGUUAGGGUCUGUAUCUUUGGAUUUGAUCACUUGGAAAGAAAAGAUGGUUUUAUUGGAUUUUUUGAGAUGGGAAUGGUCAAAGCUUAUGGAAAUGAUUUUGUCAUUUCUUUUAGUAAAAGUGGGCUCACCAGAUUGCAGAGAUUCCUCAGGUUCCCUUAGCUUUUCAUAAUUUGUGAUCCAGGAAUCAGGAAGAAUUUUAUUGAGCUCAUUUCUGGGAGUUUGUCUGGGUAUUUGGGUGCACAUGGUAUUUCCUUUGGUAGCAUCAAUAUUCAAGAGUAAAGCAUUUUCUCCUCCAAGAAGGAAGAGAUCCAUGGCAUGAUUUUGGACCCGCCACACCAUUUGGUGAUGAAGAGUGGCUUGGAUAGCAUCUUUGGCUUGUGGGGCUCCCUAGAUUUGGAUUUGGAUUUUUAAUGCUUUGAUUAGGUAUGGGUCAUGAAGAGACAUGUUAAAAUUUGGAAAGAUAGUUAUGAAGACAUUCCCAUCAUUCAAGGUAACUUUUGCAGUACCCAAAUUUGCAUGUUGGUACUCAUAGUAUCUUGUAUCUAUAAGAGAGAGUCGAGCAACAAUGGGUUGACCUUUUCUUCCCUGAUAUGUUAAAGCAAUUCGGAUAGCACCAAAAUGGAUAUGGGUAAAUCCAUGAUUUCUCCAUUAUCUAUAAAAAUCAUCUGAGAUUUGAAGGGUGAUAAAUUGUUCUUCUCGAGUGGCAAGACUAGGAUGUUGGUCAAGUUUUGAGGCAGCAACAUAUUCUUUGACUCAUUUUGGUCUUUGUUAGACUAGGUAAUGAAUUUGGGUCUAUGGUGCAAAUUAUGUUUUUGCAAAAGCUGAGCAAGGGUUUAUGAGGGGUAGUUCAGUGGAGGUUACUUUCUGUUCGUCAGGUAGGAUAUCUACUUCAUAGAUGUAAUCAUAUUUUUUGGAAAAAGUUUUAUAUAGAGUAGGGGACAUAUUCAACUUUGCAAAGGAAGAGGAUGAUGGAAACAACUCAGACAUAUUUAGUAAAUUGUUCCUCUAGCCAAAAGAAUGGGCUAGCUCUGAUACCACAGUAUAAAGAAUUGAGCAAGAGACUCCAAGAAAGCAAACUAAAUCAUAGAUACGAAAGUUUCCCUACAUCACCACCCGGUAUGAUAUUGAAUAGAAAUAUCAUAGUAGGUAGAGGUGCACCCGUUCUGAGUUUCGGGCAUUCCCUCACCAUAUGACGGGUAUCACCACACUCAAAGCAGGACGCAGCUGAUGAAACUCACUCGGGCUUGGUUGACUAGACUGACCAUUGAAAGCACCCUAUGCUGAAGGUACACUAGACAGUGGCGGUGCAUAAUGAGCAACCUGAGGCCUAAGAGUAGCGCGAGUACCACUAUAAGUUGGAAGUGUUGAAUGAACUGGACGGCUCAUAUAGCCUCUACCAUGAAGGGCUAUAACUAGAGAACGAGCACCAUUAUAUCCGCCAGAAUCUCGAGGCCUCAUGGCCUCCAUAUCCUCCCUCUCCCAGCCUCGCAUACCCUCUAAUCUCCAUGCGAUAUUACCACCUGCUGGUAUGGAGUGUCUAUCUCCAACUCUCAAGCUAUGCUAAAUCUAAUACCAUAGUUGAGCCCCUCGAUAAAUCGACAAACUCGCUCUAUAAUUGUGGAAACAAAGGUAGGUGCAUGUCUGGACAACUCACUGAAUCUGACAGCAUACUCUAGCACAGUCAUAGGACCCUGGCAUAGCUGUUCAAACUUUGGGCGCCAUGCAUCUCGAAAACUCUGGGGAACAAACUCUCUCAAGAAUAUCUCUGAAAACUGAGCCCAUGUGAUUGAAGCUGCCUCGGCUGGCUUACCCUCCUCAUAAGACUACUACCACUAGUAUGCCAGUUCCGACAGCUAAAAAGUAGUGAAAGCAACCCUGCUCGUCUCCACUCUACCCAUACGGUGGAACUUCUACAAAAAACCCUAUGCAUCCUCUGUAGCUAGGCCGCUGAAAGUAGGAGGAUGUUACUUCUUGUACCUCUCAAGUCGGAGUUGCUCUCCUCAGAUAUUGCUGCCCUAACCUUAGGCUGAACUGGGACGACCGGAUGCACUAGUAUAGCCUCUAGGCCCUGAUCAAUAUGGAAUCGCUGAUCUGGGUAUGAGUUGUGGGAGUAUGAGCUUCUCCCCCAGCCUGAGAUGUGGCGGGUGCAAGUGUAAUCAACCCCACCUGAGCUAGAGUACCAAACAUGCUCAAGAAUUGUAUGAGGGUCUCCUGAAUUGCAGGGGUGGAAACAUACACCUCAAGUUCCUGCCCCACAACUGGAGCAACUGAUGGCUCCUCUGUUGCAGCUUGGGCAGGUGCUCUAGCUACUCAACGUUCCCUUCCUCGACCUCUGCUCCGCCCCCUCCCCAGCCUCUUGCAGCUCUAGUAGGGGGCGUGUGUGUCUAAUCGUUGAAUUUAGCAGUGCAUGUCCUCACCAUCUGUAAAAGGACAGAAAGACAAUGAUUCAUAAUUUCGAAGUCACUAAAUUCACACGAUAAGGAGUCAAAGAAGUGAAGUUUCCUAACAGUACCAUUGCCCCUCGUAGAUAAGUAUAGAUAUCUUAGUACCGAUCCGCGAGACUCUACUAAAUCUUGUUAUGACUCGUAACACCUAUGAACCUAGAGCUCUGAUACCAACUUGUCACGACCCCAAUCUCCCUCUGUAGGAUGUUGUAAUGGCACCUAAUCUCUAACACUAGGUAAGCCUAACAUAUAUGAAGAAUUUAACGGAAACAAUAAUAAAACUUCCAAUUUAAACCAAUAGCUAUCAUAGAAAGGACUCCGCAAUCCAACUGAACCUAACUCCCUAAAUCUUGUAAUACCGAGUCACAAGCUUUACACGAGUAUACUUAACAUCCCAUAAUUUAUGAAAAGGAGAACGAAAUAGAAACUAGAUAGAGGGUGACUCCGAGACCUGCAAAUGCCGGUAGGUAUACCUUGAAGUCUAUGAUCCAAGCCCGACUCACGGAUGCCUAGGCUAGUAUGAAGUACUUGGAUCUGCACAAAAAGAUGUGCAGAAGUGUAGUAUGAGUACGCCACAAUGGUACCCAGUAAGUAUCAAGCCUAACCUCGAUAGAGUUAUGAUGAGGUCAGGUCAAGAAACCUACUGGAAUAAAUAAACAAAAUGAACAAGUAUAGUGUAGUAUGAUAAUGAAAACAAGGAAAUGAUAUAAGGAAGAAAUAUAACAAGAAUACCUACACUGAGACUAAGGUAAUUAAGACAUCAUGGAAGAAACACAUAAUAAGAAUGCCAAGGAACUGAUGCAAAUAAAACACAAGUGAUAUAACUGAAAGGUAUCAACCAGAAUCACUACUGAGGUACCGCCUCGUAGUCUCAUUUCACAAUUCAAAUUACAAUCUUUCCUUAUACACUACGGGAGCCUUGAAUUUUCCCGAAAUAGCUACCCGCGUCUUAGCCCACCUUAUCACACCGCGUGGAUUCAAGUAAUUCCCCUACUAGCAACACGCAUAUCAAGCUCACCUUAUCUCACUGCAUACAUUUUAACCCCAAUCCAUAUACCAACGCAUGCAUAUUCAUAUCACAACACAUCACAAAUCGCGCCUCAAAUGCUCAAUACUACAACUUUCUAAAGAAGUCAACAAUAAUAGUAUUUUCACAAUAAAUAGCCCAUGGCUAAACCACAAUAUGUACAAGAGUCUUAACAAUAGCAACCAAAAAUGAAUAACUCAACAAGAAUGGUAUUUCAACAAAUUUACAAUUUUGCCUCAAUGUGAAUCACGACCUUUAUAACUUCAACACCAUAAUUCAACAAUAAGAUCUUCCAAGAAAUAACAAAUUCAAGUAAAGGAACUAUGUCAAGUAAAUCACGUAAGGAUAGGUUAACGAUUAUGAAGAUAACAUGUUAUGACAAUUUAAUUAAAGGCAUGAAAGAAUCUACGUAGCUCAAGCCGGUGAAUUACCACAUUUAGCCUGUGUACCCACUCGUCACCUUGCGUACACAGUUUUCAUAUACCACAAUUAACACAAAACAACACCAAUCCUAAGGGGUAAUUCCCCACACAAAGUUAGGCAAUGCACUUACUUAAAAACACGCUAACUCAAUCCACUACUAAGCCUUUUCCACGAUUAUCCAACUCCGAACGACUCGAAUCUAGCCAAAAUAGCAUUAUGCCAUAAACACAAACCAUAAAAAAUUAUUCCGAAUAAUAAAGGUGCAAUCUUUAAAGAAUAUCAAAAAUUCAACUUAAAAAGUCAACCCCGUACUUGCAUCUCGGAACCCGGCCAAACGUAUGAAAUCCCAACACUCAUUCGAUAAUGAGUCCAACCAAACUAGAAUUAUUCAAAUAUGAACUCAAAUUGCCAAAAUUUGGUCUAUCAAGUUUCAAAAAAAUUUCCCAAAUUUUCCAACUCAAAACACUAAUUAAAUUACAAAAACACGACGGAUUCAUGUACAAUAGCCAAAUCCGAGUUAGAAUCACUUACCCCGAUGAAUUCAUUGAAAAUCCCUCUAAAAAUCCCCAAAAACCGAGCUCUCUAGGGAAAAAAGAUGAAGAAUGAAACAAAACCCUUGUUUUUGAAAUUUAACACUGCUACCCAGUUAUCCUAUCUCACGAUCGCAGACAAAAGACUCGCGAUAGUGGAGAACAAAUCUCCUCAGCUCAAAAAAAGACAAUAUGCUAUCGUAUGACUAUAGUCAUGAACGCGAUGGCAGGAGCUGCCAAGGUUACACGAUUGCGGACAACACCACGUGAAAGUGAAAGAACAACGCAAGCCUCAGCACCGACUCGCCUUCUUUAUAUGCGAAUACGUUCAUAUCCAUGCAGUCACGAUGCACAAGCUCCCAAACCUUCGCGAUCAAACCAUCCCAGCAGUCCCUAAGGAUUCUACGUGAUCAUAGGAGAACCUUCGCGAACGCAUAGAAGGAAACUAGAACAGAAAAACCAGCAGUCCUAGUUCAAGAGCAAAUGGUCUGAACUCAAUCCGAAACACGUUCGGGCCCUCCGGGACCCCGUCCAAACAUACCAACAAGUCCUAAAACAUGAUACAAACUCGCUCGAAGCCUCAAAUCAUAUUAAGCAAUACUAAAACCACAAAUUGUACAUCGAUUCAAGCCUAAUGAACUCAUGAAUCCCUAACUCCUAAAUUAAUGUUGAAACAUAACAAACAAACCCCAAUUGACCUCAAAUUUCGCACACAAGUCAAAAUUGACAUAACUGACCUAUUCCAACUUUUGAAUCCAAAAUCUGGACCCGAUAUCAAUAAAUUCAACUCCCGGUCAAACUUCUCAACCUUCCAAACCUUCAACUUUUCAACUUUCGCCAAUUCAAGCCAAAAAGACCUACGGACCUCCAAAUCAAUAUUCGAACAUCCUCCCACGUUCAAAAUUACCAUACGGAACUAUUGAAAUCGUCAAAACUCCUUUCUGAAGUUGUCUACACAAUAUUCAAAUUCUGGUCAACUCUUUCAACUUAAACUUUCAACUUUUGGAUUAAGUGUCUCAUUUUUCACUCUGAAACUCGCCCGAACGAAAACCAAACAUCCCGGCAAGUCACAUAACCAUAAUAGAAUAUAGAGGAGGAAAUAAAUAGGAGAAUGGGACUAAAAUACUCCAAAUGACCAGCCGAGUCAAUACAAUGUCUUUACUCUAUUUUGACAUAACAUUAAUUCUAUUUUAUUCUUAAUCGCAAGCAUUUGUUACAAUUUCAUUUGGGCUUUACAUUGAUUUUAUCUGCAUUUAAAUGUUAUGUUGGGCCUUGUCACUAAUGUUUGCCUUUCUAUUUUGCACAUGUGAUCAAAAUGGGCCUGUUGAGUUCUCAAGAACUCAGGUUCAAGUUCUAGCCUCACGUCUGAAGUCAUUGAAGUUGUUGCUACUAUUCGUUUUCCAUUGGGCCUGACAUUCUUUAGGCCCAAACCAUGAGUCCAAUUCCCUUUGUUUUAUCGCUUUUAUAUAAAUUUGUUGUUGUUUCUAUGUAUAUAUAACACUGAUAAUAUUGAGAGAAUGAUUUUCUCUUGUAUCAUUUUUUAAUUAUUUUAGAAACUUAGGCAAGUUGAAAAAUCAUAAGUAAUAUCAAAAGGAAUGGCAAUCUCUUCAAUCAGUUAAAUAACUUCAACUUAUUUAAUUAUUUCUAUUAUACAAUUUUCACUUUCAUCUCUACUAACCGUUUUUUCAUGAAUUUUUGAAGUUCAAAACAGAUUUGAAAAGUCGACAAUCAUCUUUCUUUAAAAGCCAGAAUUGGGCAGAUAAUUUCAAAGUCGAGUUAUCUACAAAACAAAUGAACACAAUUGCGAUCAAAGAACUUCAAACGAUGUUCUUCUAAACUUGGAUGCAGAAUAUGGAAGAGUUUUCAAGGUAUAUCUAAACCCAUUUCUCCAAUAACUCUUAUUUCACUACAGCUACAGAAAUAGCCAUUUUGUUUCACAAGUAAAAAGUAUUUUUAAACCUAGCCAUACUUAUAAAGUUUACAAAUAAAGCCUUAUAGUCCUACUUUCAAAAGUUCUUUCAAUCACGUAAAUAUGAACACUUUUCAAGGCUUUUACAAAUGAAAACUACACUCUCCUUUCAAAAUUGCAUACAUCAUUUUCAAGUGAUAAGUUUUAGUCAUGACAUAGAGUAAGCUACAUAUUUUUAAGCACUAACCAGUAGAAUAUAGACAUUUAAUUUCCUAAACCUAGUCUAAGUCCUAUGGUGCUACCUUAGGUAUAUUCUAGGAGGUGCGUAACACCUUCCCCUUAGAAGAACAAGAACCCUUACCCAAAUUUCACUGGUUAGCAGACCAAUAAAUAAUAAUUUAAUAAUUGAAUAGGUAUCGUAGUAUACCUAUAAAUAUUAUAUGGCGACUCUUUUUCAUCAUCAAUAGGGACACUACUAGUUCAAUCUUACUUUGACUCGUGCAAAAUAUGGUGCAACAACAAUGUCCUACUCUGGAGUGUGAUUAGAUGAGGUUUGGGCUCCCUCUCCAGCCUGAGAAGUGUCUACGACCGCAAGAAUUAUCUGUACAUGUGUUAAACCUCAAAAUAACUCAAAAUUUGGACCAUGGUUUCCUUAAGCACUAGAAUAGCAAUAAAACCUUGGGAACUUGUGUUGGACCGAUUGGAACAACCUGAUCUACCACUGGAGCUAGGUGGCUCCUCAGAAGCAUCUAUUGUACGUGCACGAGUAAUUGCGGGUGCUCCACCUCUUAGGGGUGCUGCCAUACAUACCUUGGUCUGAGAUCCAGCCCUACCUGAGCCCUGCCUCCUCUAGAUCCGGCCUAGGGUAUUGGCUUCUGCUUAACCGUUACGGAUGCAUGUGGCCUCACCUUCUAUAAGAGAAUAGAAGAGUAAGGUUCAAACACUAAGAUAAAACAAGGGACGCACAAUAAGGAAAGAAAGAAGGAAAUUUUCCUAAAUCCCUGUCACACCUCCUUUUUACCCGCCCGUGAGGGAUAUAAGGGAGUUUUUCCAAUUAAAGUGACAUUAAUCGAAAUGGGAUUAAUUAAUUUAUUUUUUAGAGUCGCCACUUGGAAUAGUUUAUUAUCGUGUCCCAAGUCACCGGUUUAUUAUAAAAUCCCCAGUCGAGGAAAUUUUCGACUUUAUUUAAAAGUCUGCGAACCAGAAAUUCUAAGUAAGGAAUUUUGUUAACCUGGGAGAAGGUGUUAGGCAUUUCCGAGUUCCGUGGUUCUAGCACGGUCGCUUAAACUAUUAAUAAUUGGCUUAUUAUCUGAUUUACUACACAUUUUAAACCUAUUGUGCAUUUUUAACUUUAUAACCGCCUUUUAAUUAUUUUAUGGAAUUAUUCUGGAACAAGUUACGAUUGUUGUACACUUGUUUGUGUGAUACACAUUGCGAAUUAUGUCACGGGAACCGUACCCACGAUCUACAAUAUGUCUAAUUUAUUAAAGUUAUUAGAAGGUGUGGCCAGGUCACAUAAAUGUACCUCCGGAUUUGGAAAUUAGGUAUCACAGCUAAGUCAUGGGAACCAUACCCGUAGCUAUGAUGAUUUUAUUAUAAACGCGCCUAAAGCAAACUACGAGUGUUUAAAAAGGUGUCUUUCCAUACUAAGUUAAUAUUAAUGUGAGGGCCAUAGGUUAUGGCUUUUAUUUGUGUAUGGCACACCGCAAUUUAUUUUUGAAAGAAAAGAUUUGUAUUUUUGUAAGGCAAACUAAAGAUGCUCCUACUUUAAUCUAAUUUAAAAUUAGGUAUCACAACCACGUCACAGGAAUUGUGCCCGUAGUUGUAUUAAUUUAAUUGCGUGCAUAAAGCAAACUACAGUGUUUCAAAUUUGUGAUUCAUAGCCAAUUUGGGAUUGUUGUGAAUGCUCUGACUUAUGGACUUGACUUAUUUGGGAAGAAAAACAUACUAAUACUACGGAGAAAAGACAAAUCUAGGAUGCAUUACUGCAUGGAGUAUGAAUUUUUCAACACAUUUUGAAAGGAAGAAAAAAAAGCCAUGUUAAUUAGUUAGGUUUGUUCGUGUUCCACUUGAUUUCCACAUCAAUUUUAUUUUUUAUUUUUUUAUUUUUACAACAAAAAAGUUCAAAGAACUUUGCCACACAUGCCUAAGAUAAAUAUAUUUAAUUAACAAUGCUACAAAAUAUAUAUUAUAACAUGAAGCAACAUUUCAAAUGGUAAUCACCAAAUAUACAAGUAUUUAGACGUCUCUGUGAGUGAAGAAAGCACAUGUUCCUUUUAAUUCAGAUGCCAAAAAAAAAAACGAACAUCUCGAGGUAUCCUGGGAACAGAAAUUGGAAUAACUGACAUGAACAGAUCUUUUCAACAUAUAUACUGGGACAGCCUCAAGCAGCAAAGUUAAAAUCAAGUAGGCUCCUUAUUCAUAUGUAAACUCAAAGCAAUUAAAUACUAAUAUUCCCACCAAUCAAAUAUCAAAUCAGUGAUCAUAGAGUCAUAUCGAACUAUAAUCCGACAUGUCCAAACCAAGCAGAUUCAUAAAUUUAUAUGCUUGUCCAAAGUGAAGCAACAGAUUUAACAAAAUGACAUGGAAAAACUGGAGCCAAAUCAAAUCAGUAUUUUAUGCAUUCAAAACUAGCAACAAUCAGAAAAUUAGAAGUGUACCUACCUUGUAUUUUAAAAGAAACGAAGGAAAAGCGAAACGAAGCUCAACAGCAAUUUCCCGUCCACAACAAACAACAAUCGCAGCAAGACAACUCCAAUUAGAGCUUCGAUAACUUGGAUCCUAAAUAAGAUACGGGCAUCGAGAGAAGAGUUCCAAUCAAGGGCAGCCACAAUAGCUCGAGCUACAUCGCUUGCUAUACCAUUUUCCUCUAUCUUUUUUAGCUGUUAAUUAAUGCUUCAAUAGAUUCUUGAAGUUGUACAUUAUUCACCUUUGAAAAGGGUUUUAAAAGGAAGAAAGAAAAAAUUGGAAAGAGGGUUUUAAGCAAAUAUGUCAGUUAUUUGCACUCUGCGAUGGUGGACAGAGUGGGGAUAGAGGAAAGGUGCUUCAUCUUUUUUGGGCUAUAAUUUGUGUGUCGUGUGGAGAAAAUGAAGAAGAAGAAAGAGAGGUCUAAUCUUUUUUGUGGAAACAACGCUGAGGGGG